rnacentral:rRNA from 1 species
CUUGGCUCAGGAUGAACGCUAGCGGCAGGCUUAACACAUGCAAGUCGAGGGGCAUCGGGAGUAGCAAUACUUGCCGGCGACCGGCGCAAGGGUGCGUAACGCGUGAGCAACAUGCCCGUAUCAGGGGGAUAAUCCAUGGAAACGUGGUCUAAUACCCCAUAGUAAUUAUGUAAGGCAUCUUAUAUAAUUUAAAGCUUUGGUGGAUACGGAUUGGCUCGCGUGACAUUAGCUGGAUGGUAAGGUAACGGCUUACCAUGGCUACGAUGUCUAGGGGUUCUGAGAGGAAGGUCCCCCACACUGGAACUGAGACACGGUCCAGACUCCUACGGGAGGCAGCAGUGAGGAAUAUUGGACAAUGGAUGGAAAUCUGAUCCAGCCAUGCCGCGUGCAGGAAGAACCGGCCCUAUGGGUUGUAAACUGCUUUUGUAUGGGAGCAAUAAGGGCUACGUGUAGUCCGAUGAGAGUACCAUACGAAUAAGCACCGGCUAACUCCGUGCCAGCAGCAGC